GAAAGAAAGGAGGGCCAGGAUUGUGAGAAAUGGUCAUUUAGGACUUGAGAAAUGUAUACACCCGGAAGAAUGAUCAGAGUGCCUCCUCCGCUGAAAAUCCACAGCCAGGCAUGGACCCCUCCCACCACCUCCUACUAUGGUACUUAAAGACCUCACCAUGAAAAACUGGAUUGCAUAAAGGACUGCUCCUGGACAGAGACCCCUGGCUUGUUAUAUUUGCACAACUGGACAGUUUUCAUGGCAUAGAUUGGAUGGACUCUGUCAGUGACAGGAGGCAAUGUCCCUCCUGAAGGAGGGAAGGGAGUCUCUUCACUAGCAAAUACUCCAGUUUCUCAGCCAUUGGGGAAAAAAAAAAGAUCCUGUGAUUCCAACCAUGGAACUGCUACUCAAAACAACUGCAAGAAAGAGGAAGUAGAGACCACGCGAGGUAUUUCCGUGUAAGACUGUUCCACCUUGAG
rnacentral:lncRNA from 1 species